UACGGAGGGGGCUAGCGUUGUUCGGAAUUACUGGGCGUAAAGCGCACGUAGGCGGCUUUGCAAGUUAGCGGUGAAAGCCCGGGGCUCAACUCCGGAAUUGCCUUUAAAACUGCAUCGCUAGAAUUGUGGAGAGGUAAGUGGAAUUCCGAGUGUAGAGGUGAAAUUCGUAGAUAUUCGGAAGAACACCAGUGGCGAAGGCGACUUACUGGACACAUAUUGACGCUGAGGUGCGAAAGCGUGGGGAGCAAACAGG
rnacentral:rRNA from 1 species